GCUUCGGUGGCCUAGUGGUUAGAGCGUCCGCCUCCGAUGCAGGAGGUCGCGUGUUCGAACACCGUUUGAAUCA